UACGUAGGGUGCGAGCGUUAAUCGGAAUUACUGGGCGUAAAGCGUGCGCAGGCGGUUCGUUGUGUCUGACGUGAAAGCCCCGGGCUCAACCUGGGAAUGGCAUUGGAAACUGGCGAGCUAGAGUGUGGCAGAGGGGGGUGGAAUUCCGCGUGUAGCAGUGAAAUGCGUAGAGAUGCGGAGGAACACCGAUGGCGAAGGCAGCCCCCUGGGCUGACACUGACGCUCAGGCACGAAAGCGUGGGGAGCAAACAGG
rnacentral:rRNA from 1 species